GACGAACGCUGGCGGCGUGCCUAACACAUGCAAGCCGAGCGAGUUGAUUCUCUUCGGAGAUGAAGCUAGCGGCGGACGGGUGAGUAACACGUGGGCAACCUGCCUCAUAGAGGGGAAUAGCCUCCCGAAAGGGAGAUUAAUACCGCAUAAGAUUGUGGCUUCGCAUGAAGUAGCAAUUAAAGGAGCAAUCCGCUAUGAGAUGGGCCCGCGGCGCAUUUGCUAGUUGGUGAGGUAACGGCUCACCAAGGCGACGAUGCGUAUCCGACCUGAGAGGGUGUUCGGCCAAGUUGGGACUGAGACACGGCCCAGACUCCUACGGGAGGCAGCAGUGGUGAAUAUUGCACAAUGGGGAAACCCUGAUGCAGCAACGCCGCGUGAGUGAUGACGGCCUUCGGGUUGUAAAGCUCUGUCUUCAGGGACGAUAAUUACGGUACCUGAGGAGGAAGCCACGGCUAACUACGUGCCAGCAGCCGCCGUAA
rnacentral:rRNA from 1 species